rnacentral:rRNA from 1 species
UAGCCGUAAACGAUACUCGCUAGGUGUCGGCCACGGUGCGACCGUUGUCGGUGCCGUAGGGAAGCCGUGUAGCGAGCCACCUGGGAAGUACGGCCGCAAGGCUGAAACUUAAAGGAAUUGGCGGGGGAGCACCACAACGGGUGGAGCUUGCGGUUUAAUUGGAUUCAACGCCGGAAAUCUUACCGGGACCGACAGCAACAUGAAGGCCAGGCUGAAGACUUUGCCGGAUUAGCUGAGAGGAGGUGCAUGGCGUAGUCGUGU